UUGCAUGAAGCAAUCCACGUGUCGUCACCCCUAAUGCCUCCGUUUUCUCUCAUUUGUUAACCUUCGCAACCUGGGGAGAAAAUAAUAAUCACUACCACACAAUUUCAAUCUCCUUGGUUUUCUCGAGAAAAUAAAAAAACCCAGGAAAAAAACCCGGUGAAUGUCAUCCUCGAAACAACAUAGGCGCCAAAAGACUGGAUUUCAUGAGAGAGAAACAUAGGCAGAUAGGAAGCUGAGAGACAAAAGAAGAGUUAACGGUUCGUUGUAAGAGCCGAAAAUGCCCUGAAUCAAACGCGGUUCCGGAUCACUGCUGUCGAUGUCGCUGUCUCUGUCUCGUCUACCCCAUAUUCUCUCUCUCCCUCUCACCGCUAUUAGUCUUCAUUUUUUAUGUUUUAGCUCUGUUUGUUGCUUUUAGGAAAUAGUAGUAAUACUAAUACCCUUUUGUGUAAAAGAAGUUUUUUUUGCUGUUUCUCAGAGAUAUUAUGUGAAAAAUCUAGUAUAUUUUACGGGAAUAAACAAAACCCAGAAACCAAAACCCUAGCUUUUAUCUCUUCCAAGCUUGAUUUGCACUAGUCUUAGCGUUAGCUGAAUCCUGUGUUCUUGAUCAUGGCAUUUGAUCCCAACGCUAUACCAAAAGAUGUGAGACCGUUGAGUGUGAGCAGAUGCAUUCCUUGGACCAUCUUUUAUUUUUGUUUUCUUAAUUCAGGAAAUCAAAACUAAACAACCAGACAUAAAAAAAUAUAUGGUUUUCGAGUUUUGGAUGGCAUUGGUCGCUUGCAGAUUAUAAAAAACAUUGACCUUGAAGAGCUGCGAUGCUUGGUUCUGGGAUCUUUGGUACUGUUUAUCAUGGGAAGUGGCGGGGUAGUGAUGUUGCAAUCAAACGGAUCAAUGAUAGAUGUUUUGCAGGGAAACCUUCUGAACGAGAACGCAUGGAAUCUUGAUAAGCUUACGCAACUUUUGAUUGCCAUGGAUGUGGCUUUUGGAAUGGAGUAUUUGCAUGGAAAGAAUAUAGUGCACUUUGAUUUGAAGAGUGACAAUUUACUUGUCAAUCUUCGAGAUCCCCAUCGACCGAUAUGCAAGGUUAGUGCUUGGGUCUAAGCUUAACUUGCCAUCCAUUUUGGUGCCAGGUCUAUGGUGGGGAGCUUUUCAUUGUUUGUUCCAAUCAUCCUUAGAUGAAAUUGACUGUUCUAGAGAAUCACUCCGAGUACUAAUUCGAGAUAUUUUCUUGCUUAGAAUACGUUAAGUUGGCAAAUUUAAAUUUGUCUUAUAUUCUCAAGGAGACCAAUUUUGUGACUGAGUUGACUGAUAUGUUAAAUGUUCUUAGUAUUGUUGUGGGAUUGAGGUUUAUGUGGGUAUAUUUGGCUCAAGAGUAGAAUUCAGCACACACGAACAGAGCAGGGUUUUGAAUGAAUUCCUGAACUCUUCAAGAGUACUCUAAUAAAAUGAA